UCCAGACUCCUACGGGAGGCAGCAGUGGGGAAUAUUGCACAAUGGGGGAAACCCUGAUGCAGCGACGCCGCGUGAGUGAAGAAGUAUUUCGGUAUGUAAAGCUCUAUCAGCAGGGAAGAAAUAGCGACCUUUGGGUCGCCAGACGGUACCUGAUUAAGAAGCCCCGGCUAACUACGUGCCAGCAGCCGCGGUAAUACGUAGGGGGCAAGCGUUAUCCGGAUUUACUGGGUGUAAAGGGAGCGUAGACGGCAGCGCAAGUCUGAAGUGAAAUGCCGGGGCUUAACCCCGGAACUGCUUUGGAAACUGUGCGGCUAGAGUGCAGGAGAGGUAAGUGGAAUUCCUAGUGUAGCGGUGAAAUGCGUAGAUAUUAGGAGGAACACCAGUGGCGAAGGCGGCGUACUGGACUGUAACUGACGUUGAGGCUCGAAAGCGUGGGGAGCAAACAGGAUUAGAUACCCCCGUAAGC
rnacentral:rRNA from 1 species